CUAUGUACCCUGGUGACUCAUCCUGUGUGGUCUUCAUUCCGUUGGGUGACAUCGCUUUCAUCUUCGUUACUUUUCUAGUUGCUGUAAGAAAGCGCCAGGGUAGAAGUCGCUUAAGGGAAAGUUAUUUUUGCCCAGUUUGAGUGAUGAUGGCGUACACUCAGCUCACUCCAUCACCUGUGUACAGGCUAGGAUCUCAGAACGAAGAACCAUGUCAUCUGCCGUAGGUGCUUCUUUUCAACACAGUUCACCGAGUCAAGAUGAUCUCCUACCAUACUGCUGGAGGCCUCUCUCUCAGGAGGUUCUAGAACUCAUUGAGUUGACAACUCAGGCUAACCACUCUAGCUUCUAUGGCUGAUAUGUGGAAUUGUCAUAAAAAAGAUGUUAAAUUUUGGCAAUUUCUCCUUCUAUACCUAAUGACAUGAUCAGAUGGUUUUUAUGCUUCAUACUUUUAAUGUUUAAUGAUUUAAUUUAUGUUGAGCAGUCCUGUGUCCCGGGCAUAAAUCCAGUUUUGAUUAUAGGGUGCAAUCUUUUAAAUAUGCUGUUCAUUUUCUUUGCUAAUGUAAUGUUUCCUUGAUUUUUGCCUCUAUUCAUGUCAGUUUUGCUUGUUUUUGGCAUUCUCCUCUGGCUUCGCGUGAGGGUUAUGCUGUUCUCAUGAAGUGAAUUUGGAAUUCUUUCCUCCUCUUCAAAUCUGCAAGGAUUUGAGAAGGAUUAGCUUUCGCUUUUCUUUGAAUUCAUUUUUAUAACCUUCUCUUACCUGGAUAUUUCUUUAUUGGGAGGUUGUUAAUUAUUCUAAUUAUCAUCCAUCCAUUUAUAUUUUGAUUUUUCAUAAUCACCUUAAUAGUUUGUGAGCUUCUAGAACUCUAUCCAUUUCCUCUAGCGUGUCUGAUUUGUUGGAAUACAUUGUCCAUUGUAGUUUCCUUUGUACCUAUUUAGUAUUAGUUGCAAUGCCUCCUCUCCCAUUUAUAAUUUUGAGUCCUUAGAACAAGUUUUGAAUCUUGUUUUCUUUUCUCAAAAAGCCGACUCCAGAUUUCCUUUCUUUCCUCUCCUCCCCCUUGUUUUUCCCCGUUUGUUCUGAGGAAAAACCUAGGACCUCUAAGUAAAUGCAUGCUUGCUUCUGAGCUACGCCACCAGCCCACAAGAACCUUAGCUCCAUUAAAGCUUCCUGAUGGUUUUCUUUUCUAGAAUUCUUUGUCCUCCCUCCUUUCUACACAUCCUAUUCCUAUGCCACUUCUUCCUCUUCCUCCCUCUUUUGAGACUGAAUCUUACUAUCUUGGCAAGCAGUCCUAGCUGGAUCUCAAAUGCCAGGUCCUCCCACCUCAGCUACCUGGAUCUUAGCCGUGCACCAGGUGGCCUGCUCUUUCCAGCUUCGUAACAACUUUUCCUCUUAUGGGCCGUGUUUCUGUUGUCGAAUAUCUGAACUCUUUACUAAGCAUUCAAUUCUGAAACACUUCCUUCUGAAAAUUUAAUGGUUUAAUAUUUAAGCAAAUAGAACCUAUCAAUUUGCAGUUAGUUUUAUAUAAAAUGAAACACAUUGCUUUUUCUUUUGGAAGUUUAAUUAUUCCAGCACCUUUUGCUGAAAAGGUAUCUUCCUCCCUUGAGUUGCUUUGCAUAUGUAUAACAAAAAUCACUUGAGCAGAUCUGAGGUCUUUUGAGCUCUUCAUUCUAUUCUGUUGCCUGUAUCUAUCUGUCUGCCACAUCUUUGAUAAAUGUUAACUAUGAAAUAUUAGGUAGCGUGAUUCAUCCCACUUUAUUCUUUUUAAGGUUUAAAAAAGACAAUCUCAGGUUCUGGCUUCCCCAAAAAGUUUAGAUCAAAUUUGACUAUUUCUGGAAAGAAACAAUCAGUGGGACUUCUAUAGGCUUUCAUUGACCAUAGAGAGUGUGGAAGCUGAUGUUGCCAGUCUGGUGUGUUUUCUGGUGUGUGUCUUUAUUUGGAUCUUCUUGGUUUUAUACCUUUAGGUUUACUUUACCUUUAUAGUAAUUUCCCUCACCUCUGCUUUAAAUACUUUGCUUUCUGAGACACUGCUGAAAUGAGUUCAGUAGCAUCGACAUGUAGUAGUGAUGACAAGGCAGCAUCCAAUCCAUCACUUACAAAAUGCCACAGUAGUUCUCCUUUACUCUUAACCUGGGCCCCAUGUGACCCCACUGCCCACGUUGGAGUGACACGCAGGAAGCACAGAGACAGAGACAGGAAGUGGACUAGUAAACCUUACAUGUCACCUUCCAGUGACGUAUUCCCAACAAUUGGCCUGUAGGGUCAUUUCACGUUUGACUACAACACCCAUUUGUUUGUUGUUCUGUGACGGUGCAAGUGAGUUGUUUGGAAAUCCUUAUUGUUUUUUCUUUUCAUUUCUUUCUCUUUUUGUUUUUGUUGUUGUUUCUUUAAUGCAGGGUUUCUCUUGGCUGUCCUGGAACUCACUCUGUGGACCAGGCUGUUUUCAAGUUCAGAGAUCCUCUUGCCUCUGUUCCUCGGAGUGCUGUGAUUAAAAGAGUGCAUCGCCAUAGAUCACAUGAAACUCAAGAAGGAUGACCAAAAUGCGGAUGCUCCACUCCUUCUUUAAAAGGGGAACAAAAGUACCGUUAGAAGGGGAUAGGGAGGCAAAGUUUAGAGCAGAGGCUGAAGGAACGGGCCAUUAAGAGCCUACCCCACAUGUGGCCCAUACAUACACACCCACCGAACUAGAUAAGAUGGAUGAAGCACAGAAGUGCAGGCUGACAGGAAGCGAAUAUAUAUUUUUUCCAAAAUGUUUUCUGCUGAGUGUUUAGAAACUAGCUUUUUAGAUCUUUGAUCCACUUUAGGUUGAUAUUAAUGUACAGUAUAGCAUGAUGGUCAAAUUUGCUUCUUUAACCACUUUCAGUUUGUGAAGCAGUUCUCUGUACAACACAUAAAUGCUAGCUUAUAAAACAAUUCUCUGCAUAUUACAGACAACACCAGCUUAUUCAUCUCUGGGCAUCGUAAUCUGCUGUUCAGUUCUUGCACUAACAGUGGAGGAAACCGUAGCUCAAAGGUCUCGGGGAUCAUCUAGAAUUCCCUACUCCAUGUGUGCAGCAGAUCUGGGCUCAUGUUUUAGCUCUGGCCAAGUGGUGAGAUGUGGGUCUCUGGGUCCCCAACCUAUGAAGAAUGGUUAGAAUCUCCCUCACUUAAACCUGUUCCAUCUCUUUGCCAUCUUUUUCCGUGUAGUCAUGAGGUUGUAUAAGAGCUUUAAUAAGUACUAACGAUGGAUGGUCUAUUCACGGUGUGACUUCCUUAAACUAUGAUAUAGGUAUGCAUUUUAUUAUUAUUUCUUUUUAUUGCUGUUUUCCCUCCUACUGUCAGAGAGAUGGGACCACAUCACCACUACUACAACGAGAAGGCCCGGAACAACUAGAGCACUGUCAAAUCCUAUGGAACUUGAUGGGUUUGACUUGGAAGAUGCCUUGGAUGAUCAGAACGAUCUAGAUGGCCCCAAAAAGCCAAGUACAGGAGAAGGAGGAGGUUGGUCAGACAAGGAUCUCGAAGAUAUCUUGGGAGGCAGGGGAUACAAACCUGACAAGAAUAAAGGUAGGAAUGUUGCUUUGUUUGGCAACACAUGGAUUCUCCUUAAAAUGCUAACCAUCUGGCCGCCAGGUAAACAUGUCACUCUCAG